UCUCUCUUUACACCAAUGACUGCACCUCAGGGGACCCCUCUGUUAAACUCCUGAAGUUUGCUGAUGACACCACCACCACCGGGCUAAUCUGGGACAGUGAC